rnacentral:tRNA from 1 species
GCUGGGAUGUAGCUCAGUGGUAGAGUGCUUGCCUAGCAUGUGUGAGGCACUGGGUUCGAUUCUCAGCACAGCA